rnacentral:rRNA from 1 species
UACGAAGGGGGCUAGCGUUGCUCGGAAUUACUGGGCGUAAAGCGCACGUAGGCGGCUUUCUAAGUCGGGGGUGAAAUCCUGGAGCUCAACUCCAGAACUGCCUUCGAUACUGGAUGGCUUGAGUGUGGGAGAGGAAUGCGGAAUUCCAGGUGUAGCGGUGAAAUGCGUAGAUAUCUGGAGGAACACCGGUGGCGAAGGCGGCAUUCUGGACCAUAACUGACACUGAGAGACGAAAGCCAGGGGAGCAAACGGG